AACGCACCUUGCGCCCUCUGGUAUUCCGGAGGGCAUGCCUGUUUGAGUGUCAUGAAGACUUCAACCCCUCGGGUUUUGCUCGGGGAUGUUGGACUUGGGUGCUGCCACUCUGUUGGCUCGCCUCAAAUGUGUCAGUGGUAAUCGGGCCCUCGACAGGAGUAAUAAGUUUCUCUUGUCUGUUGGUCUCUGACGGCCGCUUCCAACCCCGCCUCUUUUGGCACCUUAUGACUCUGACCUCAAAUCAGGUAGGACUACCCGCUGAACUUAA
rnacentral:misc_RNA from 1 species